UACGGAAGAUGCGAGCGUUAUCCGGAUUUAUUGGGUGUAAAGAGUGCGUAGACGGGAAAUUAAGUUGGCUUGUGAAAUCCCUCGGCUUAACUGAGGAACUGCAACCAAAACUGAUAUUCUUGAGUGCUGGAGAGGAAAGUGGAAUUCCUAGUGUAGCGGUGAAAUGCGUAGAUAUUAGGAGGAACACCAGUGGCGAAGGCGACUUUCUGGACAGUAACUGACGUUGAGGCACGAAAGCGUGGGGAGCAAA
rnacentral:rRNA from 1 species